rnacentral:rRNA from 1 species
GACGAACGCUGGCGGCGUGCUUAACACAUGCAAGUCGAACGGAAAGGCCCUGCUUUUGUGGCGUGCUCGAUUGGCGAACGCGUGAGUAACACGUGAGUAACAUCCCCUUGACUUUGUGAUAUCUUCAGGAAACUGGGUCUCAUACCGCAUAGAAUCUCCUGCACCAUGUUGGGCGUUGGAAAGUUUCGGCGGUUGGGGAUGGACUCGCGGCUUAUCAGCUUGUUUGUGGGGUAGUGACUUACCAAGGCUUUGACGGGUAGCCGGCCUGAGAGGGUUACCGGCCACAUUGGGACUGAGAGACGGCCCAGACUCCUACGGGAGGCAGCAGUGGGGAGUAUUGCACAAUGGGCGGAAGCCUGAUGCAGCAGCGCCGCGUGCGGGAUGACGGCCUUCGGGUUGUAAACCGCUGUGGCCGGUGACGAAGCGUGAGUGACGGUAAUGGGUAAAGAAGCACCGGCUAACUACGUG